GAAUCGCAUGAUUCAGUGUGAAAAGCCCUGGCAGUAUAGGAUGGUCCCGCGUCUGAUUAGCUGGUUGGUGAGGUAACGGCUCACCAAGGCGACGAUCAGUAGCCGGCUUGAGAGAGUGAACGGCCACAUUGGGACUGAGACACGGCCCAAACUCCUACGGGAGGCAGCAGUGGGGAAUAUUGCACAAUGGGGGAAACCCUGAUGCAGCGACGCCGCGUGAGUGAAGAAGUAUUUCGGUAUGUAAAGCUCUAUCAGCAGGGAAGAAAACAGACGGUACCUGACUAAGAAGCCCCGGCUAACUACGUGCCAGCAGCCGCGGUAAUACGUAGGGGGCAAGCGUUAUCCGGAAUUACUGGGUGUAAAGGGUGCGUAGGUGGCAUGGUAAGUCAGAAGUGAAAGCCCGGGGCUUAACCCCGGGACUGCUUUUGAAACUGUCAUGCUGGAGUGCAGGAGAGGUAAGCGGAAUUCCUAGUGUAGCGGUGAAAUGCGUAGAUAUUAGGAGGAACACCAGUGGCGAAGGCGGCUUACUGGACUGUCACUGACACUGAUGCACGA
rnacentral:rRNA from 1 species